CCCUACGGGGUGCGGGCUGCCUCGGCGGCAAACGUAAGCAUAGAGGCGAUGGGCAUAGAAAUAAAGCGCGCCUAUAUGAAACGGAAGAACAAAACGGAAAAGAGCACGCAGCGGCGCGCACUAAACCCGGCCAGAACGGCGCAGCCUGCCGAGAGGGGCAUGCGGUACGAGGAUAUCGUAUCGGCGAAGGCGGAGGAAGGCUUGCUGUCGAUCCUCAUUUCGGCGCCUGAGUAUAUAGAAAAAACUAUGAAACUGCUUUCAGUGCAAGACUUUUCAGUUCCGUUUCUGGGAAAGAUGUUUGAAAAGCUUGGAGAAAGGAAUGGCGGGGGGGC
rnacentral:rRNA from 1 species